GGUCUACUGUUUCUCUGAUGUUUGUUGGUGGAAGAAAAACCUCCAGCAGUGACGGAGAAAGCUCUUCCUGCAGGGGAAAAAAAAAACCCUGGUUUAGUAGCUUAGCUGGUGGAUAUCGACACUGGCCACCUGUUGAAGAGGGAGGCCAUUCUCACGGUGCGUCCAACAAGCUGGUUUUUCUCGCACUGAAUGGGUUUGCCAUGGCAGCGGCCAUCGGCACACACGGCACCGUGGGGGUGGCCAGUCAGUGUCAGCCCUCAUUACUAUCCAGCGCUUUAUUGGAAGCCUCUUCCAGGAGUCCUUCACAAACAAAACAGAAGGGGGAUGCUUUUACACUUUAAUGACUUUCCCACAGUGGCGCUCCUGAACAACAAGCUCCCCUAGAAUGGCCGCAGAGGCUGGAGGAGAGUCCCCCACACACAAGUUCAGCAGAGGAAGGGAAAUACUGGGGCCACUGUGCUCGACCCUGCAAGGCCAGCCAACGAGAAGCAAGGAAAGCGGGGAGAAUCAGAUCUUUAUGUGGCAUGGGGCCUAACGGGGGGGACAGCUUUGGUAUUGUCCAUGCUGCCCUCCCCCUCAUCUUGGUUCUAUUGUUCYUCAUGUCACGUUGAAACACCCCACCAUGACAAAAAUUAAGGUAUUGUCAUGACCUCGGUGUUCCUCCGAAGAAAACCUGGAAAUCUGUUGACCCGAGGCUGAACUGAUGAGUACCAAACUGUACUUUUGCACACAGGGGUCACCACAGUGAGCGAAAUGUUUACUCAAGAUGUCCUUCCUGACAACCACUGRGGCGGGGGGCUGCAGGGGUUUCGUACCUGCAACUUACAGCCACUGUUUAUAGACCCAAAACACACCCCUUCAACUUAAAAUACUUCAUGUCUUUAAAUGAGCAUUYAGUUGGGGUAAAACGUCAUUUACAAAACUUUCUGUUCAAUAAAUUGGCUGCUUUUAAAACAUGUAAAAACCUCAACUGUGGUUUAGGUUUUGCUUCUUUUUCUUGAUGACUUGACCAUAAAACUCAUUUGUAUCAACCUACAGUCAAAUCGAGCACUCAAACAAAUAAUAUCUCAGGCAAAUUCAAAAACAAAUAAAACAGAAUUUAUAGACAGACAGCUACUGAUAGGUUUUAAGAGGUGCCAAAAGUCAACUUUUACAUC